ensembl:lncRNA
GGAGGGAGGGAGGGGCGGGUUAGCAGAUAAUGUAGAGAGAAAGAGGGGGGAAGAGAGGGAGAGAGAGAUAGAGGGGGGGAAGAGAGUGUGAGAGAGAUAGAGGGAGAGCAGGGGGUUUACAGGUCUGCCGAAGGCUAAUUGACGGAGUGAGAGAGGGAGGGAGGGAGAGAGAGAGAUAUGUUUUGGGAAGGUAGUCCAUACUGCGACAUCAGAAGGUGUGCGGUGAAGGAGAUAGAGCUAGCGGCUAAGAAACUGGUAGUGAAGGGUCAGAGUUUAGGAGGGGUCCGAGUUGAAGAGGGGUCAGACGUAGGAGACUAAACUCAAGACGACAGCAUGUGGACUCACAGAGCGAGGAAGCAGCAACAUUCAGGAGUAACGGCGACUUCCUGGCUUCCAGGCUUCGUGAACAUAGAGAUGGCAAAUACCAACAGGCGCUGCCAAGAAAUAUCAGCACAAAAAUAUCAGGAGAGAGGAAGCAGGGACCAGGAAGAGCUAAAAAAGUAGCGGGGAAAUGGGAGCUCUAGUGGGAGGCGGGUGCUGGAAAUGUGUGGGUGUCAUUCAGUUAUUUUAAAUGUGUGCUUAGAAAGACGGUCACACACGCGGCCAUCUUUGUGUGUGCGUUGCUAAACCGGGUUGUCUGAUAAACUUGAGGCUGCUACAAAGGAGAUCUCUAUAUUAUCUCACACGUUGAUCUGGACGAAGGAGAACAAAACAAGACGAGAGAUACCGGAGCAGAAGAAAGAGUCUAGGUGAGGGAUCACGGGGACAGGGCUUAAAGUCUUAGUGUCAGCUCCAUGCGGAUCAUGAGGUGGCUGUCUGGUGAGAUGCUGCACCACCCGUACACGACAGGCAAGCUAAUUAACACAUUACGACCAGUCCUCCAUGCACACACCCUCCUGGAACACCUCACAGCUCCAGCCCAGGGGAGGUCCACUGGGAGACAGGGCUGACCACCAUGGAGGGCCGAUCACACCACUACCAUUGUAUGAACAGAGUGAAAUAUAUCAAGAACCAAUGAAGAUGAUGAGAUGACUUGGGUUAAUGCAAGUGGCUGGUAGUAUAUUUAUUUAUGAUAUCUCUGUGUUCAUUUAGUGAUGUUUCAGUUUGUUAUCCCUACUUGUGUUUAUUUUCCCUUUUAUGCAUCGCUGGAUUUGUUUAUUUCAGAAAUUGCGAAAUGUGCGCAAGAGGAAGACAGCGAUAUGUAAUGAUAGAGUGGGGGGCCUCUCAGCCCUGCUAAAUGUAAGGCUUGUUGCUGGACCCCCGCUGUGCCUCUGUAAUGAUAGGCAUCCACUGAGGAACACAAAGGACCCAAUAGGAGAGCCAUUUCCCCACCGUUGAGACGCUUGGCUGAGGAACAGUCCAAUAUACAUCCCGCAGUCAAUUAAUAAUAGUAAACUUCUCUUAACUCCGGGGGUGUCGCUGCUUUGCUGUCAAGCGGCAACGAAUUGGAACAAAUAAAGUUGAACCACAAGUAUUCAUCAGAAGUCUCAGCCAAGCGUGUUAACUGUGGAGAAGCCGUUGUUCUGAGUUCUGGAGAGAGGAUUCAACAAAAAGGAACGAGGACAUUCCCAAGGGACUCUGGAAUCGAUCAUCCAAUGACAAUUAUAUCAGGCCUGACAAGCUGGACAGGAUCCCAAUACAGAAAUAUAUAUUUAUAUAUACAGGUGUAUUUAUAAACGGAACAACAGUCGAGCAGAUGGUAGAUAUAGGUCUAAUUUCAAAUCAAUAAAACAAUAAUAUGUCAACUAACGUAUAGUAUAUUUUAUCUACAAAUAUAUAUAUAUAUAUAUAUAUAUAUAUAUAUAUAUAUAGUCAAAUAAGAUAAAAACAACACUUGUUUUAUUAAUUUGAUUGAAUCCAAAUGUGGUUGAUUUUGGUCCUCCUUGAGCUAACCUUCAAACAGAAUGUACGUUGAAUGUACCAUCUAAAUGGUGUAAUCAGGGUCUUUUUAAUUCAGCAUCUGAGCUAUUCCCUCCUCAGAUGACAGGUUAGUACUUCGUGUCUGUCUUCGAACUCAGUUGUCAUGGGACCGCUGUCGUCAUGGGACCCACAGAACUCACUGCCAGUUCUAAAUAUUCCAUCCCUUCAACCUUUAUUCCUUCAACUCUCAUCAGUUACCAUAGAACAUUUAUUUGAAUACUUUGUUAUCAGGACAUUGUGGUAACCCUCUUGAAAAAAAAUUUCUACCGGAUCAUGACUGGCAGCAAAAGCUCAUCCGAUUUUUAUUAUGAAACAUCAAAAUUAUAAAAUGUUUAUAAUUAAUAAUGACACUAGUAUUUUUCAUUUUAUUUUCUUUCUUGCCUUGCAAAAAAAUUCGAUCAUGAAAUGUAAGCCUGUAUCUUAAUGUUGGUUUGAUGUUUGUAUGUGUCAGAGAAUCAGAGCUGUGUUUUAGUGUACAGAAGGUAUGUUUGAUAUCUGAAAAUACUUCCCUUGCAAAACUAUUUGUGAUAACCUCAGAUUCCCAACCGUAGAAACACUGAAAUGACCCAAAUGCUGUAUUUCUAUCUUUUACUUGAAGAAAACAACUAUAUUGUCAUAUUUUUGAUUCCUGAAAAAUAAAGUGACCUCUUCGAUCUGUC